GGAGGUAGUGACAAUAAAUCACAAUGCGGAACAAUGUUUUGCAAUUGGAUUGAGAACAACGUACAAACCUUAUCGAUAAACAAUUGGAGGGCAAGUCUGGUGCCAGCAGCCGCGGUAAUUCCAGCUCCAAUAGCGUAUAUUAACGUUGUUGCAGUUAAAAAGCUCGUAGUUGAAACGAAGGGUGGUGUUGUUGGAUUUACAUUCGUGUAUAUCUUUCAACUCCUCCCUCCUUCUAAAUUCGAUAUAUGAGUAUUAAUUUACUUGUAUAUGGUUUUAGACUUUUACUGUGAGAAAAUUAGAGUGUUCAAAGCAGGCAUUUGCUUGAAUAUAUUAGCAUGGAAUAAUCAUGUAUGAUUUUCAUGAUGUAUUUGAUUGGUUUGGUUCAUGAGAAUAAGAUUAAAAGGGACAGUUGGGGGUAUUCAUAUUCAAUAGUCAGAGGUGAAAUUCUCGGAUUUAUGGAAGAUGAACAAGUGCGAAAGCA
rnacentral:rRNA from 1 species